rnacentral:rRNA from 1 species
AACGAACGCUGGCGGCAGGCCUAACACAUGCAAGUCGAACGCUCCAGCAAUGGAGAGUGGCAGACGGGUGAGUAACGCGUGGGAACCUUCCCUAUGGUUCGGAAUAGCCCAGGGAAAUUUGGGGUAAUACCGAAUAAGCCCUUCGGGGGAAAGAUUUAUCGCCAUUGGAUGGGCCCGCGUCGGAUUAGCUAGUUGGUGGGGUAACGGCCUACCAAGGCGACGAUCCGUAGCUGGUCUGAGAGGAUGAUCAGCCACACUGGGACUGAGACACGGCCCAGACUCCUACGGGAGGCAGCAGUGGGGAAUAUUGGACAAUGGGCGCAAGCCUGAUCCAGCCAUGCCGCGUGAGUGACGAAGGCCUUAGGGUUGUAAAGCUCUUUUGGCGGGGAAGAUAAUGACGGUACCCGCAGGAUAAGCUCCGGCUAACUUCGUGCCAGCCGCCGCCGUAACAC